GCGGUCCGGCUUCCUAUAAUGCAGUUCGAGCGAACAGAAGGGGAAGCUUGCUCCCGGAUGUUAGCGGCGGACGGGUGAGUAACACGUGGGUAACCUGCCUGUAAGACUGGGAUAACUCCGGGAAACCGGAGCUAAUACCGGAUAGUUCCUUGAACCGCAUGGUUCAAGGAUGAAAGACGGUUUCGGCUGUCACUUACAGAUGGACCCGCGGCGCAUUAGCUAGUUGGUGGGGUAAUGGCUCACCAAGGCGACGAUGCGUAGCCGACCUGAGAGGGUGAUCGGCCACACUGGGACUGAGACACGGCCCAGACUCCUACGGGAGGCAGCAGUAGGGAAUCUUCCGCAAUGGACGAAAGUCUGACGGAGCAACGCCGCGUGAGUGAUGAAGGUUUUCGGAUCGUAAAGCUCUGUUGUUAGGGAAGAACAAGUGCGAGAGUAACUGCUCGCACCUUGACGGUACCUAACCAGAAAGCCACGGCUAACUACGUGCCAGCAGCCGCGGUAAUACGUAGGUGGCAAGCGUUGUCCGGAAUUAUUGGGCGUAAAGGGCUCGCAGGCGGUUUCUUAAGUCUGAUGUGAAAGCCCCCGGCUCAACCGGGGAGGGUCAUUGGAAACUGGGAAACUUGAGUGCAGAAGAGGAGAGUGGAAUUCCACGUGUAGCGGUGAAAUGCGUAGAGAUGUGGAGGAACACCAGUGGCGAAGGCGACUCUCUGGUCUGUAACUGACGCUGAGGAGCGAAAGCGUGGGGAGCGAACAGGAUUAGAUACCCUGGUAGUCCACGCCGUAAACGAUGAGUGCUAAGUGUUAGGGGGUUUCCGCCCCUUAGUGCUGCAGCUAACGCAUUAAGCACUCCGCCUGGGGAGUACGGUCGCAAGACUGAAACUCAAAGGAAUUGACGGGGGCCCGCACAAGCGGUGGAGCAUGUGGUUUAAUUCGAAGCAACGCGAAGAACCUUACCAGGUCUUGACAUCCUCUGACAACCCUAGAGAUAGGGCUUUCCCUUCGGGGACAGAGUGACAGGUGGUGCAUGGUGUCGUCAGCUCGUGUCGUGAGAUGUUGGUAGUCCCGCACGAGCGCACCCUUGAUCUAGUGCAGCAUUAGUGGGCACUCUAAGUGACUGCGGUGACAAACCGGAGAAGGUGGGGGAUGACGUCAAUCAUCAUGCCCCUUAUGACCUGGGCUUACACACGUGCUACAAUGGGACAGAACAAGGCUUGCGAACGCAAGGUAGCAUCCCAUAAUCUGUUCUCAGUCGAAUCCCGUCUUGCAACUUCGACAUGGGCGUGUGA
rnacentral:rRNA from 1 species